rnacentral:rRNA from 1 species
GAUGAACGCUGGCGGCGUGCUUAACACAUGCAAGUCGAACGGAAAGGCCCAAGCUUGCUUGGGUACUCGAGUGGCGAACGGGUGAGUAACACGUGGGUGAUAUGCCCUGCACUUCGGGAUAAGCCUGGGAAACUGGGUCUAAUACCGGAUAGGACCACAUUUUGGAUGGUGUGGUGGAAAGUUUUUCGGUGUGGGAUGAGCUGGCGGCCUAUCAGCUUGUUGGUGGGGUAAUGGCCUACCAAGGCGUCGACGGGUAGCAGGCCAGAGAGGGUGUACGGCGACAUUGAGACUUACGGACGGCCCAGACACGGACGGGAGGCAGCAGGGGGGAAGAUUGCAGAAGGGGCGCAGGCCGGAUGCAGCGGGGCCGCGUGGGGGAUGACGGCCUUCGGGUGGUAAACUCCUUUCGCUAGUAACUAAGCGUUAUGUGACGGUACCUAGAGAAGAAGCACCGGCUAACUACGUG